rnacentral:rRNA from 1 species
GACGAACGCUGGCGGCGUGCUUAACACAUGCAAGUCGAACGAAGUGGCGAACGGGUGAGUAACGCGUAAUCAACCUGCCCUUCAGAGGGGGACAACAGCUGGAAACGACUGCUAAUACCGCAUACUGUAGGAGGGGAUUGCGUCUGAUUCGCUAGUUGUAGGGGUAACGGCCCACCAAGGCGAUGAUCAGUAGACUGUCUGAGAGGAUGAACGGCAACGUUGGGAGUGAGACAGGGCCCAGGCUCCUACGGGAGGCAGCAGUGGGGAAUAUUCCGCAAUGGACGAAAGUCUGACGGAGCAACGCCGCGUUAGUGAUGACGGACUUCGGGUGGUAAAGCUCUGUUAAUCGGGACGCGGUACCGGAAUAGAAAGCCACGGCUAACUACGUGCCAGCCGCCGCGGUAAUAC